rnacentral:rRNA from 1 species
GAUGAACGCUGGCGGCGUGCCUAAUACAUGCAAGUCGAGCGCAGGAAACUGACGGAACUCUUCGGAGGGAAGGCAGUGGAAUGAGCGGCGGACGGGUGAGUAACACGUAAGGAACCUGCCUCAAGGAUUGGGAUAACUCCGAGAAAUCGGAGCUAAUACCGGAUAGUUCAUCGGACCGCAUGGUCCGUUGAUGAAAGGCGCUCCGGCGUCACCUUGAGAUGGCCUUGCGGUGCAUUAGCUAGUUGGUGGGGUAACGGCCCACCAAGGCGACGAGGACAAGCCGACCUGGGAGGGUGAUCGGCCACACUGGGACUGAGACACGGCCCAGACUCCUACGGGAGGAAGCAGUAGGGAAUCUUCCAAAAUGGACGAAAGUCUGAUGGAGCAACGCCGCGUGAGUGAUGAAGGUUUUCGGAUCGUAAAACUCUGUUGUAAGGGAAGAACACGUACGAGAGGGAAUGCUCGUACCUUGACGGUACCUUACGAGAAAGCCACGGCUAACUACGUGCCAGCAGCCGCCGUAA